GCUCCGACUCCCGUGAGUACCUGCACGAGGUCACACCUGAGGAGACCCUGAAGAGAUGGCAAAGGAUGAGCAGGCCGCUCCUGAAAAGAUGUUGACCCUGGAGGAAUUUCAGGGGAACAACUGUUGUUUUUUAGUAUUACCUCCUGAAAAUAUGAUUUCAGUCACUGCAAAGGCAUCCAACACAACGGAAACUGCGGGGAGGAGGACAGUGGAAACAUCCGGUAUUUUACCGCUAGGAGAGUUUUGAAUGGGCUUUCUGCUAGUAUCUCAGAGUUGUGGUUUUGUCUGAGGACAGUAUGUACUAAAAAAUCUCCAUUUGUUCACUGGACCUGAGCAGAACUCCUAAAUCAAGAAAGAAAAUUUCAAGAGAACCAUUCAAAUAUUGGAAAUGACUAUGAGCAGUAAAAACUGAUUCCUCCUUUUUAUGAAGACGCCAGUCAGAAUGAAGUUGGAUGCACCCUAAUGACCUCAACUUAACUAAACUUCGUCUGCAAAGACCAAUUUUCAAAUAAGGUCAGUUCUGAGCAGCUGGAAGUUAGAACUUCAAAAUAUGAGUGGGGGUGGGCACAGCUCAACCCAUAAUAAAGACUAAGUCCUAGAUCUGGGCAAUGCCUAUCAGGGAGGCUUUUUCCAGGAAGAUAGCUCCAUUCAACUCCCAUAAGUUCCAGAAAUUAAGAAAAGAGUUUCUGAGAGCAUCCAAGAGAACAAGCAGUUACUUGUAGGGAGAAUGAAGCGUUUGGGAAGGAGGUAAUUCCUGUGUGUGGCCUGGAAGAUUGGUCAGAUUUAGCUACCUAAAAAUGACGGUGGCAUUUAGGAAAUGACUGUUAGAAGAGCACAGUGGAGCACAGGAAGCAGGGAGCUGUCGCAGAGCUGUGUUGUGCUGCAAUAAAUUCUGGUUGAGAGGGGUUGUCAUGGUAUGGAAAGAAAAGAAGGCUUUGAGAGAGCCUCUGUCAUGGAGAUGCAGAGUGGCUCGCUGGGUAUGAUUAAAGAAUGAAAUGCGAAACAUGGUGAGGCAUUUGGGAAGAGACGCUUUCCUGUCAGAGUUCCCCUUCACCCCCUACCUGCAAGCAUGCAUAACGUUAUGAAGGGCUUCAUCACUCUUUUAGGGACACUGUGGAGAUAUUUGUUAUUAACAUGGGUAAUUAUAUGAGCAGAGGAGAUAAAGUAGGACGUUCUCUCUAGUGAUCAGAAUAUAUGUACAUAAGAAAAGAAAACAUACUUAGGUCUGAAAUAUUUAAGCUAGAGAGCUAUGUCAC